rnacentral:rRNA from 1 species
AUUGAACGCUGGCGGCAGGCCUAACACAUGCAAGUCGAGCGAGCGGCGGACGGGUGAGUAAUGUCUGGGAAACUGCCUGAUGGAGGGGGCUAACUACUGGAAACGGUAGCUAAUACCGCAUACCAUCAGAUGUGCCCAGGUGGGAUUAGCUAGUAGGUGGGGUAAUGGCUCACCUAGGCAACGAUCCCUAGCUGGUCUGAGAGGAUGACCAGCCACACUGGAACUUAGACACGGUCCAGAUUCCUACGGGAGGCAACAGUGGGGAAUAUUGGACAAUGGGCGCAAGCCUGAUGCAGCCAUGCCGCGUGUGUGAAGAAGGCCUUCGGGUUGUAAAGCACUUUCAGCGGGGAGGCGUUACCCGCAGAAUAAGCACCGGCUAACUCCGUGCCAGCAGCCGCGGUAAUUC